ACUUCGGUCCUAGCGGCGAACGGGUGAGGAAUGCUUGGGAAUCUGCCCAGUAGCGGGGGAUAACGUUUCGAAAGGAACGCUAAUACCGCAUACGCCCUACGGGGGAAAGGGGGGGAUCUUCGGACCUCUCACUAUUGGAUGAGCCCAAGUCGGAUUAGCUAGUUGGUGAGGUAAAGGCUCACCAAGGCGACGAUCCGUAGCUGGUCUGAGAGGAUGAUCAGCCACACUGGAACUGGGACACGGUCCAGACUCCUACGGGAGGCAGCAGUGGGGAAUAUUGGACAAUGGGCGAAAGCCUGAUCCAGCCAUGCCGCGUGUGUGAAGAAGGCCUUCGGGUUGUAAAGCACUUUAAGCGAGGAGGAAGGGCUCUAGGUUAAUACCUUGGAGCAUUGACGUUACUCGCAGAAUAAGCACCGGCUAACUCUGUGCCAGCAGCCGCGGUAAUACAGAGGGUGCAAGCGUUAAUCGGAAUUACUGGGCGUAAAGCGCGCGUAGGCGGUUACGUAAGUUGGGUGUGAAAUCCCCGGGCUCAACCUGGGAAUUGCACUCAAAACUGCGUGGCUAGAGUGUGGGAGAGGAAGGUAGAAUUCCAGGUGUAGCGGUGAAAUGCGUAGAUAUCUGGAGGAAUACCGAUGGCGAAGGCAGCCUUCUGGCCUAACACUGACGCUGAGGUGCGAAAGCAUGGGGAGCAAACAGGAUUAGAUACCCUGGUAGUCCAUGCCGUAAACGAUGUCUACUAGCCGUUGGGGGACUUGAUCCUUUAGUGGCGCAGCUAACGCAUUAAGUAGACCGCCUGGGGAGUACGGUCGCAAGACUAAAACUCAAAUGAAUUGACGGGGGCCCGCACAAGCGGUGGAGCAUGUGGUUUAAUUCGAUGCAACGCGAAGAACCUUACCUGUCUUGACAUGUC
rnacentral:rRNA from 1 species